rnacentral:rRNA from 1 species
CACGACCUUAACGGGGAGGAAGGCUUUUAUUAGACCAGAACCUAUUCGGUGCCGCGGGUUCGCGCUCGCGAGUGCCGGUUUCUUGGUGACUCUGAAUAACUUUGGGCUGAUCGCACGGUCUUUGCACCGGCGACGGGUCUUUCAAAUGUCUGACUUAUCAACUGUCGAUGGUAGGUUAUGCGCCUACCAUGGUUGUCACGGGUAACGGGGAAUCAGGGUUCGAUUCCGGAGAGGGAGCCUGAGAAACGGCUACCACAUCCAAGGAAGGCAGCAGGCGCGCAAAUUACCCACUCCCGGCACGGGGAGGUAGUGACGAAAAAUAACAAUACGGGACUCAUCCGAGGCCCCGUAAUUGGAAUGAGUACACUUUAAAUCCUUUAACGAGGAUCCAUUGGAGGGCAAGUCUGGUGCCAGCAGCCGCGGUAAUUCCAGCUCCAAUAGCGUAUAUUAAAGUUGCUGCGGUUAAAAAGCUCGUAGUUGGAUCCCAGUUGCAGACGGGCGGUCCGCCUCAUGGCGGUUCACUGCCCCGUUCUCGACAUACCUCCGGUUAUAUUUGUCCCGCGAUGCUCUUUACCGGGUGUCGCGGGGGGCCGGUACGUUUACUUUGAAAAAAUUAGAGUGCUCAAAGCAGGCGAUGGCCAGAAUAAUGGUGCAUGGAAUAAUGGAAUAGGACCUCGGGUUCUAUCUUGUUGGUUCUUCGGAACACGAGGUAAUGAUUAAUAGGGACGGACGGGGGCAUUCGUAUUGCGACGUUAGAGGUGAAAUUCUUGGAUCGUCGCAAGACGAACUACUGGCGAAAGCAUUUGCCAAGAAUGUUUUCGUUAAUCAAGAACGAAAGUUAGAGGUUCGAAAGGCGAUCAGAUACCGGCCCUAGUUCUAACCAUAAACGAUGCCAACCAGCGAUCCGUCGGCGUUACUUCGAAUGACCCGACGAGCAGCUUCCGGGAAACCAAAGUUUCUGGGUUCCGGGGGAAGUAUGGUUGCAAAGCCGAAACUUGAAAGGAAUUGACGGAAGGGCACCACCAGGAGUGGAGCCUGCGGCUUAAUUUGACUCAACACGGGAAACCUCACCAGGCCCGGACACUUGGAGGAUUGACAGAUUGAGAGCUCCGUUUCUUGAUUCAGUGGGUGGUGGGCGGCAUGGCCCCGUCGUUCUGAGUGGGGCGAACAAUUGGCUGCGUCAUUCCCAAUAGCGACACAGACAUAUCACUACUAGAGAAGG